rnacentral:lncRNA from 1 species
CGCGGCCGUUGCAACGAGCUGCAUUGCUGAUUCUUCGCUUGCCUGAGACUGGCAUUUGUCGAGCGGGUUGCAUCCGUUGUUACGUUGGCCGAAGACAGCAGUAAAAGUGAUCUGCAGAUAGCACGAAUGCCAGCAAUCGUGCAAAGUAGGAGUCCAAAGGGGGACAUGGUUGGUGUGGUUGGGUGAAAGCAACGUGUCAUUGUGGUUAAAAAAGAUGAAUCAGUAUACAUGUGAUAUAA